rnacentral:rRNA from 12 species
GUGGACGCAUCACUGGUGUUCGGGUUGUCAUGCCAAUGGCACUGCCCGGUAGCUAAAUGCGGAAGAGAUAAGUGCUGAAAGCAUCUAAGCACGAAACUUGCCCCGAGAUGAGUUCUCCCUGAGACUUUAAGUCUCCUGAAGGAACGUUGAAGACGACGACGUUGAUAGGCCGGGUGUGUAAGCGCAGCGAUGCGUUGAGCUAACCGGUACUAAUGAACCGUGAGGCUUAACCUUACAACGCCGAAG